CAAAAAGUUAUUAAGGGCGCACGGUGGAUGCCUUGGCACUAGAAGCCGAUGAAGGACGUUACUAACGACGAUAUGCUUUGGGGAGCUGUAAGCUUUGAUCCAGAGAUUUCCGAAUGGGGAAACCCAGCAUGAGUUAUGUCAUGUUAUCGAUAUGUGAAUACAUAGCAUAUCUGAAGGUAGACGCGGAGAACUGAAACAUCUUAGUACCCGCAGGAAGAGAAAGAAAAUCGAUUCCCUGAGUAGCGGCGAGCGAAACGGGGAAAACCAACGAGCUUGCUUGUUGGGGUUGUAGGACACUCUAUACGGAGUUACAAAAGAAUAAACUAGACGAAUCAUCUGGAAAGAUGAAUCAAAGAAGGUAAUAAUCCUGUAGUCGAAAGUUUAUUCACUCUUGAGUGGAUCCUGAGUACGACGAACACGAGAAAUUCCGUCGGAAUCCGGGAGGACCAUCUCCCAGGCUAAAUACUCUCUAGUGACCGAUAGUGAACCAGUACCGUGAGGAAAGGUGAAAAGUACCCCGGAAGGGAGUGAAAUAGAACUUGAAACCGUGUGCUUACAAGUAGUCAGAGCCCGUUAAUGGGUGAUGGCGUGCCUUUGUAGAAUGAACCGGCGAGUUACGAUUUGAUGCAAGGUUAAGCAGUGAAUGUGGAGCCGUAGCGGCGAGUCUGAAUAGGGCGUUGAGUAUUUGGUCGUAGACCCGAAACCAGGUGAUCUACCCAUGACCAGGUUGAAGUUCAGGUAACACUGAAUGGAGGACCGAACCGACUUACGUUGAAAAGUGAGCGGAUGAGUUGUGGGUAGCGAGAAUUCCAAUCGAACCUGGAGAUAGCUGGUUCUCUCCGAAAUAGCUUUAGGGCUAGCCUCAAGUGAUGAUUAUUGGAGGUAGAGCACUGUUUGGACGAGGGGCCCUCGGGUUACCAGACAAACUCCGAAUGCCAAUUUAACUUGGGAGUUAGAACGCGGGUGAUAAGGUCCGUGUUCGAAAGCCCAGACCACCAGCUAAGGUCCCAAAAUAUAUGUUGUGGAAAUGUGGCGUUGCCCAGACAACUAGGAUGUUGGCUUAGAAGCAGCCAUCAUUUAAAGAGUGCGUAAUAGCUCACUAGUCGAGUGACACUGCGCC
rnacentral:rRNA from 1 species